rnacentral:piRNA from 1 species
UGAAUAUGUAGAUAAGGGUAUCAUCUCAC